rnacentral:lncRNA from 1 species
UGUCAGAACAUUUACUUUUACAUAUCAAGAGAAUAAUUAUCUGCAAAACCUGUUAUUUCAAAUCUCCAAAAAUGCAGAGAUGUUUUAAAUUGUAAAUAAUAUCCCAAUUAUGUUUAUAUCUUUUAAUGUACAUAUACACAUGCUGUUUUAGCUGUUAUUGUCUCUCAAAAGACUCUCUCUCAGAAAUCUGUACUAUGGAUUGGCUUAUGGCUUAACAAAAUGUAUCUUUUAAUAUCAUAUUGUAUGCAGAAGGUGAGAUUUAAAUAAGAUAUUGAAUUGAAUUUUGUUAAUUGGCAAUUGCAAUUGAAAUAAAUCAUUGUAUUUGAAAUAAAUUCCUUCCUCUACAUGUAGAACCAAACAUAACCCUGUGAACCAGCCUCUAAAUUUCAUACUUAACAUUUUGUUUAUUUAAGGAAUGACUGUAAUAUUUUUU